rnacentral:rRNA from 1 species
GACGGAGGAUGCAAGUGUUAUCCGGAAUCACUGGGCGUAAAGCGUCUGUAGGUGGUUCAAUAAGUCAACUGUUAAAUCUUGAGGCUCAACUUCAAAAUCGCAGUCGAAACUAUUGGACUCGAGUAUAGUAGGGGUAAAGGGAAUUUCCGGUGGAGCGGUGAAAUGCGUAGAGAUCGGAAAGAACACCAACGGCGAAAGCACUCUGCUGGGCCGACACUGACACUGAGAGACGAAAGCUAGGGGAGCGAAUGGG